rnacentral:rRNA from 1 species
AGAGUUUGAUCCUGGCUCAGAUUGAACGCUGGCGGUAUGCUUAACACAUGCAAGUCGAACGGAAACGAAACUAGCUUGCUAGUAGGCGUCGAGUGGCGGACGGGUGAGUAACGCGUAGGAAUCUGCCUGAUAGUGGGGGAUAGCCCGAAGAAAUUCGGAUUAAUACCGCAUAAUCUAUUCGUAGUAAAGUGGGGGACUUUCGAGCCUCACGCUAUCAGAUGAGCCUGCGUAAGAUUAGCUUGUUGGUAGGGUAAAAGCCUACCAAGGCAACGAUCUUUAGCUGGUCUGAGAGGAUGAUCAGCCACAUCGGGACUGAGACACGGCCCGAACUCCUACGGGAGGCAGCAGUGGGGAAUAUUGGACAAUGGGGGCAACCCUGAUCCAGCAAUACCGCGUGUGUGAAGAAGGCCUGAGGGUUGUAAAGCACUUUCAAUUGUGAAGAAAAGUUAACGGUUAAUAACCGUUGACCUUGACGUUAACUUUAGAAGAAGCACCGGCUAACUCCGUGCCAGCAGCCGCGGUAAUACGGAGGGUGCAAGCGUUAAUCGGAAUUACUGGGCGUAAAGCGUGCGUAGGCGGUUUAUUAAGUCAGAUGUGAAAGCCCCGGGCUUAACCUGGGAACUGCAUUUGAAACUGGUCAACUAGAGUAUGGUAGAGGAAAGUGGAAUUUCUGGUGUAGCGGUGAAAUGCGUAGAUAUCAGAAGGAACAUCAAUGGCGAAGGCAGCUUUCUGGACCAAUACUGACGCUGAGGUACGAAAGCGUGGGUAGCAAACAGGAUUAGAUACCCUGGUAGUCCACGCCGUAAACGAUGAUAACUAGCCGUUGGGGGGAUUUACCCUUUAGUGGCGAAGCUAACGCGUUAAGUUAUCCGCCUGGGGAGUACGGCCGCAAGGCUAAAACUCAAAGGAAUUGACGGGGACCCGCACAAGCGGUGGAGCAUGUGGUUUAAUUCGAUGCAACGCGAAGAACCUUA